AAAGUUUUAGUAUAAUUUAGUAUAAUUUAUUGUCAAUAAAUAGGUAAAAACUUUA
rnacentral:tRNA from 1 species